rnacentral:misc_RNA from 1 species
UUUCCGUAGGUGAACCUGCGGAAGGAUCAUUAAAGAGUAAGGGUCUUCGGGCCCGAUCUCCAACCCUUUGUUCAACUACCAUGUUGCUUUGGCGGGCCCGUCUCACGACCGCCGGAAGUUUGGCUUCGACCAAACUUCUGGCCCGUGCCCGUCAGUGGCCCCUUCAAAUUCUUGAUCAAGUAUGAUGUCUUAGUUAAAAACUUAAUAGUUAAAACUUUCAACAACGGAUCUCUUGGUUCUG